AUGGAUGGCAAAGACCUCAUCUCACCGUCCGACCUGCCGCCAUUCUAUGGCCAGCAGCAGCAGCAGCAGCAGCACCUCCGCAUGCUCGGCGGCACCGGCGGCGGCGGGGGGCAGCAUAGCCCCUCCUCGCUCGCCGGGAUGCACUCCGUCAUCCGCCCCAUGCCCAACAUGAGCAUGAGCCCCACCGCCAUCCUCCAGUCCAUCGGCGGCGGCGCCUCCUCCCUCGCCGGCAUGCAGUUCAACAUGGACAACACCACGUCCCCUUCCUCCAUGUUGCAGCACGCCGGCAACAUGGGCGGCUCUGUUUCUGGCUCGGGCACGACGAUGCCGGUGGCCAGCCCGCCGCCGGAGCCCGUCAAGCGGAAGCGGGGCAGGCCGCGCAAGUACGGGCCCGACGGCGCCAUGAAGCACCACAUGUCCUCGUCUUCCUCGUCGGCGCAUCAUCAGCAGCAGCAACAUCAGAUGAUGGGCGCGCCUCAGCAGAGGAUGGGGUCGAUGGCCGGGCAGGGCAUGGCGGGCGGGCUCGACGACGCGGCCCAGAAGAAGAAGCGCGGCCGACCGCCAGGCACCGGGAAGAAGCUCUCCUCACCCAGCAGUAAACCCUCCGGCAAUGCGUUCCCUGGUUCAGCUGGAACGAGCUUUACUCCCCACAUCAUCACAGCAUCUCCUUCAGAGGACGUCGCGGGGAAGAUCGCGGCAUUCGCGAGCCAGUCACCGAGGGCGGUGUGCGUGCUCUCAGCGAUGGGGUCCGUCUCCAGGGCCGUCCUGCGCCACCCGGCAGAUCAUCCUCCUUCCUACAAUAACCCUGCCAUUUACGAGGGAUUGUAUGAAAUCCUGAGUUUAUCCGGCUCUUACAAUCUGAACGAGGGCCAGCAAAAUCAAACCGACGGGAUCAGCGUCACGCUCUGCAGCCCGGAGAGGCAUGUCAUUGGAGGUGUCCUGGGUGGAGCAUUGGUGGCUGCCAGUACUGUGCAGGUGGUGCUAGGGACUUUUGUGCAAGGAGGAUCCAAAUCAAAGUCCAAGAAAGCCGCGAAACCACCGGCUUUCGGUCCCGACUCGCUCACCGGCGCUGGGCCAGAUGUGGUGUCGCCCAGCUCAGGACAUAACCAAAACCUAACGUCGCCGCCCUCCGUUGUAUCGACGGGAGGGUGGCCUAGCUCUGGGAUAUUUGACACACGAAGUUCCAACAUUGAUAUCAACUCUUCUAGAGGAUAG
rnacentral:rRNA from 1 species